rnacentral:tmRNA from 1 species
GGGGGCGACUGGUUUCGACACGAUAGUUCUGAGGGAAGAAGCAGGUCGAGGUCUCCUCGCCUCGUUAAACAGGGGUAAGACGCCAAUAAGCGUCAACAAUGAUCUUGCACUCGCUGCCUAAAUAGAGCAGCGACGCCGCCCGGUGUGUGUCUCCGACACCGGCCCCGGCGCCACUAAGGAGACUUACCGAAGCGGAGCCUGAUGGCGCUUUGCAAGGGACACUCAAGCCGUCUAGGAAGGGACUCGCGGGUCACCGUGCGACGUCCCGACCGAAUGCUAAUCGGUGACUGAGCCUGGAGAUGCUUCCCAG